rnacentral:lncRNA from 1 species
CCUGGGCGGCUCAUCCCUGGGAGGUGGGCAGGGUGUGGGGGUGGCCUCUGCACCCUUUGAUCCCUUGUUGAGUCUGCCUUCCCUUGCCUGCUUGGGCCCCUAGACGAGCACUGCCCUCUCUAGCAAACCCAAGGGCAUCCUGCUUGGCACCUGUCCCCCUCCAAGGGUCCAAAGGCAAGGGCCCUACCAGCUGGCACCCCCUGCAGAGGCCCUCCUUCCUGCCGCAGGCAUAAACCUUUCUUUGCCCAGAGGUCUCUACCAGCAAAGAGGAUAAAAGAGACUACACCUGGACAAACCCUCCCAGGCCCAGGCCUGAGCCUCACAUGUGGCCCCGGGGAAGGCAUCAGGGACUCCCUUUGCCCUCCCACUGACCUCCCUGCAAACCUCCCCCAAACCAAGGGGCAUCCUCAGCUGGCCAGACCCUGGGGGAAGGGAGAGAGCCGAGGAUCACCGGCACCUGUGGCUGGGUUACCCCUGCCAUGGACCACUGGGUGAUCAAGAAGUCAUUCCAAAAUGUGAAGCGUUCUGAAGAUAUGCACAUAGCGUAAGAACCUGGUGUAAUGUGCUGGUCAAGGCGGUCUCAGAGAGGAGAUGACGUUUGAGCUGACACCUGAGGGAUGAGAAGAAAGCAGCCAUUCCCAGGGCCCAGGGGAGGCAUCCCAGGAAGCCGGAUCAGCAUGAGCAAAAGCCCUGAGGCCUGGCACAAGUUGGUCUGCUUGAGAAGCAGGAGAGAGCCCUGAGCAUCCGGAGUGCAGCAAGCGAGAUGAGCAAGUCAAGAUGCAGAAGGACUCUCUGGCUUGUCCAAGGUCACACGGCUGUUAGGAGCAGAGCAGCGUCCUGGUGCCCAAGCCCUGAGGUCCCCAGCACACUGCCUCUGCAAUGGCCACAACUGUCCAAAGACUAAGCUGACUCUCACACCUGGUAGUGUCUGUGGUCAUUCACUGUGGAUGGAAGUGGAGAAAUGCAGAAAACAGAAACACAGCUUCCCCUUUUCUGUCAUAUUUCUGUAUCGUUGGUGUUUGGAGCCAGUUGAGCACAAAGGGCCCCUGAGUGCUGUUUCCUUGUGAUAUUUGGGGGUUAACAGCUUCCCCUCAUCUCUUAAUUACCUGCCCUCCUUCACUUCAGCUGCACAUUCGUUAAAGAAUGCUCUCCCAGGAGAAGAGCUUGGUGUUAUCACCCACAAACAUCUUAGAAAACUAAUGCUAUCCUUGAGUGCCUGUUUACAGAAACAUUUUUACAUCUCACUUGACAUUUCCAGCAAAUCUUGAUCCUUCCAGCCAGGAAUAUUAAUAUAUAGGUCUUGAAAAGUGCAAGAGGCUCUUCCAUGGCUCCAAGCACAUUUGACACUCUUCCUUUUCUGAUCCCCAAGCAGACAGUGAUGAAACCCCAAUAGCUGGGCGAAUACUCAUCCAACAGGAAGAAUCAGUUUUAAGAGCUGGGUUCUCAGGGUCAAAUACUGUGGUGUGGCCUUUUGGUUGUAAUGAGUUGAAUGGAGGUCUCAAAAAAGAUAUAUCCAUGUUCUAAUCCCCAGAACUUGUGAAUGUGACCUUAUUUGGAAAAAGAGUCCUUUUGGAUGUAAUUAAGUUAAGGAUUUUGAGAUAAGGAGAUCAUCCUGGGUUAUCUGGGUGGACCCUAAAUCUGUUGACAAUGUCCUUAUGAGAGACCCCAGAGGGCACAGACAGGAAAGGAAGAGGCAAUGUGGCCCCAGAGGCUGAGAUCAGAGCUCUGUGGCCACAAUUCGAGGAACACCUGGAGCCACCAGAAGCUGGAGGAGGCAAGGAACAGAUUCUCCCUGAUCCUCUGGAUACAGAGGGAGAAUAGCCUGGCCGACACCUUGAUUUUGGACUUCUGGCCCCCAGAACUGAGAAAAUUAACUUCUGUUGUGUUAAGCAGCCACGUUUGUAGCAGUUCAUCAUAGCAGCCCUGGGAAAGAAAUACAGUGGGCUUCCAGUUCAAGGAGGAUCCACGAGGCCUGAGCUCCAUCUGUCGAUUGGAAUCACCAAAAUCAAGGUUGUGUGCGGGUAACGCCAGCACAAGCAGCUCAUGCUGGCAAAAGCAGACCAAACCGGCUCACGCAACGUCAAGUCAUCUUGAAGUGGUUCACGCACCACAGUGAGUGGUAUUGAUUGUGGUUAAGAGCCAGGUUCAAGGAGGUUUAUCACUCAGUAGCCAGGUAAAGCAGGUUCCAGGCCUGGCUCCACCACUCAACAACCGGGGAAACAGGGGAGCAGACCUGCAGAGGGGCCAGAAGACACCUGGCCGGGUGGGGAGCAGCCCCUCCGUAAUAACAAUCGGAACCUGGGAAGAUAAGUAGAGUCCCAGGGGAGGGACAGAGUUUCCCCUGUGUCACCACAUGGCUACUUUGACACAAAUGCACGUGGGCAGAGAGAGGCAUGCAGGUCAAGGGCCUGGCAGGGAGUCAGGGGCCCUCAGUGCCAGUCCUGGCUCUGCCUCUGCCUCUGACACGCCAUGUGACCUUGAGCAAGUCACCACCCUGUCUGGGCUUCGCUAACCCAUAUACGGAAUGAGAAGGUAUCGUCCCUGGUCACUGCAGGUUUUAAAUCAUGUAGUGAGAGAGAGCUCAUUUGGUCCAACUCUCUGCAACUGAAGGAAUGGAGACACCAAGGGGGAGUAAUCGGCCGCAGUGAUGAGUGGGUGGCAAAGGGAGCUAUCACUACCAUUGAUUAUCCAGCUACUUGUGCUUGAUAAACUCCCUCCUGGUGGAAUGGGCUUUCCCACAUCCAGCAGCACAAAUGCUGUGAGCAUCUACUACGGGCUGGGCACCUUCUCUGGGCUGGCACUUGACAUGGGUUAUCUCAUUUAACUCCCUAACAACCCUAUGUGGUAUUAUCAUCCCCAUUUCACAGGCGGCAAAACUGAAUCCCAGAGAGAAGACUCACUCAGACACAGCUAUCUGAACACUCUUUUCCAGUUCCCCUAGGGCAGCAGAGGAAGCAAGGUGGGGGGAAGCCAGUGGUCAAGGAUUCCAUGCGGAAUGUACCCUAGAAUUAACCCAUGGAGAGAGGGUAAGGGAACGGGCUCAGGCCUGGGAAGAAGUGGGGAGGACAGUGUCCUGUUGACCUAUUCAAAAACAUCCAGUUUUAGUUAAUUUUUAGUUCAUUAGUCACCACUUUUUAUUAGUAUCUCAUGUAUUCUUUCACAGUUUCUUUCUGCAGGUACAAAAAUAAUGAUUUUUUUUCUUUCUUUUUCUUCUUUGAGACAGGGUCUCGCUCUGUUGCCCAGGCUGUAGUACAAUGGUGCAAUCUCGGCUCACUGCAACCUCUGCCUCUGGGUUCAAGCGAUCCUUUGCCUCCGCCUCCUGAGUAGCUGGAAUUACAGGCAUGCACCAUGAUGCUUGGUUAAUUUUUGUAUUUUUAGUAGAGUCAGGGUUUUGCUAUGUUGGCCAGGCUGGGCUCCAACUUCUGGUCUCAAGUGAUCCACCCGCCUCGGGCUCCCAAAGUGCCAGGAUUACAGGCGUGAGCCACUAUGCCUGGCCAAAAGUGGCGAUGUGUUCUUAAUGCCCAUUUUCACAUAAAAGGUAAUAAUCUACCCACACCAUGCUGUACCUUGUUUGUUUUUUGUGUGUUUGUUUGUUUGUUUUUUGACAGAGUCUUGCUCUGUCAGCUAGGCUAGAGUGCAGUGGCACAAUCUCAGCGCGCUGCAACCUCCGCCUCCCGGGUUCAAGCGAUUAUCCUGCCUCAGCCUGCUGGGUAGUUGGAAUUACAGGAGCCUGCCACCAUGCCCAGCUAAUUUUUGUGCUUUUAAUAGAGAUGGGGUUUCACCAUGUUGGCCAGGCUGGUCUCGAACUCCUGACCUCAAGUGAUCCAUCCACCUUGGCCUCCCGAAGUGCUGGGAUUACAGGCGUGACCCACCGCGCCUGGCUCUUGUUUGUUUUUUUAACUAAUCACACAUCUUAGAGACCUUUAUCAGUAAUUAGAGAGCUUCCUGGAUCUUUUAUAUCACUGCAUAAUAAAUAUUCUAUUAUAUAGAUUAGAAUAAUUCAAAUUACCAGUUCCCUAUUGGUGGACAUUUGUUUCUGGUUUGUUUGUUUUUUCUAUUUUUUUUCUUAUCACAAACAGUGCUGCAAUAAGUAAUUGUGCAUAUGCACUGUUUCACAUGUGUGCAGGUAUACCUGCAGGAUAAAUUCCCAAAAAUGAAUUCCUGAUUUAAGAGUAUCUUUUUUUUUUUGAGACAGGGUCUUGAUCUGUUGCCCAGGCUAAAGUGCAGUGGCAUGAUCACGAUGCACUGCAGCCUCAGCCUCCUGGGCUCAAGCGAUCUUCCCACCUCAGCUUCCCAAGUAGCUGGGACUACAGGCAUGUGGCACCACGGCUGGUUAAUAUUCUCAGUGUAACAGAGUUUCAUCACAUUGCCCAGGCUGGUCUUGAACUCCUGGGCUCAAGCAAUCCUCCCACCUCAGCAUCCCAAAGUGCUGGGAUCACAGGCAUGUGCCACCAUGCCUGGCAGGUUGAAAGUACUGUAUGAGUUAUCUAUUGCUGCAUACCAGAUUAUCAUAAACUCAGCAGUUUAAAAAAACACCCAUUGUUUAGCUCACAGUCUCACCUGAACUGGGUGCUGAGUUCAGGGUGAAACCAAGGUGGCGGCCAGGCUUGGUUCUUUUUUGGAAGCUCUGGGGGGAAAAUCUACUUCCAAGGCCAUUCUUGUUGUUGGCAGAAUCUGGAUCCUUGUGGUUGUAGAACUGAGUCUCUGGUUUCUUGCAGGCUUCCAGGAGGGGCCUCCCUGGGCUCCCGGAGGACACCCACAGUCCUCACCAUGCAGCUCCCUCCAACAUCAAGCCAGGAAUGGCCGAACAGAUCUUUCUCAUGCUUCAAAUCUCUGAUGAAUUUCUCUUGCCAGAGAAAGCUUGCCAUUUUCCAAGGGCUCACCCAGUCAGAUCCGUCCAACAAGGGUGAUCUCCCUAACAUUAGGUUAACUGACUUGGAACCUCAGUUAAUCUGCAAAAUCCCUUUUGUCAUAUAAUGGAAUACAAUCAUUUGGUUCACAUGCUCAUCUUAUUCACAGGCCCUACACUCAUACAAGGGCAGGGGACCACAGAAGAGUGAAGGCCAGUGAGGGUCACCUCAGAAUUCUGCCCAACACCGGUGUUUUGUAAUUUGGGUAGAUGUUGCCAUGUUGUCCUCCGUGGGGAUUAUGCAGAGGGAACUCUCCUCCUCCAGCAACAGUACAUGUACCUGCUUUUCCAUGGUGCUGCUUAGAGAAUGUUAUCAAACCUUUGGAUUUCUGCCAGUCUGAUAGGAGAAAAAUGGAAUCUCAAUUGUAUUUUAAAAUUGUAAUUAUCGCCUUAUGAAUAAGGCUGAGCAUUUCCUCAAAAGCAUAAGAGCCAUUUAUAUACUUUUUUCUUUAUGGCUUCUGGUUUUGAGGCAUAGAAAGGUCUUUCUAGCUCUAAAGUUAAUCAGAAAUUCUCUGUUUUCUUUUUGCUUUUUUUAAAAUUUUACUUUAAGUCCUUGGAUACAUGUGCUGAACGUGCAGGUUUGUUACAUAGGUAUACAUGGGCCAUGGUGGUUUGCUGCACCUAUCAACCCGUCAUCUAGGUUUUAAGCUCCACAUGCAUUAGGUAUUUGUCCUAAUGCUCUUCCUCCUCUUUCCCCAUGCCCCCAACAGGCCCCGGUGUGUGAUGUUCCCCUCCCUGUGUCCAUGUGUUCUCAUUGUUUAGCUCCCACUUAUGAGUGAGAACAUGCAGUGUUUGGUUUUCUGUUCCUGUGUUAGUUUGCUGAGGAUGAUGGUUUUCAGCUUCAUCCAGGUCCCUGCAAAGGACAUGAACUCAUUCUUUUUUAUGGCUGCAUAGUAUUCCAAGUUGCAUAUGUGCCACAUUUUCUUUAUCCAGUGUAUCAUUGAUGGGCUUUUGGGUUGCUUCCAAGUCUUUGCUAUCGUAAGUAGUGCUGCAAUAAACAAAUGUAUGCAUGUGUCUUUAUAGUAGAAUGAUUUAUAAUCCUUUGGGUAUAUACCCAGUAAUGGGAUUGCUGGGUCAAAUGGUAUUUCUAGUUCUAGAUCCUCGAGGAGUCGCCACACUGUCUUCCACAAUGGUUGAGCUAAUUUACACUCCCACCAACAGUGUAAACGUGUUCCUAUUUCUCCACAUCCUCACCAGCAUUUGUUAUUUCCAGACUUUUUAAUGAUUGCCAUUCUAACUGGCAUGAGAUGGUAUCUCCUUGUGGUUUUGAUUUGCAUUUCUCAGCUCAUUGCAACCUCUGCCUCCCAGGUUCAAGCAAUUCUCCUGCCUCAGCCUCCAGAGUAGCUGGGAUUACAGGGGCACGCCACCAAGCCCAGCUAAUUUUUGUAUUUUUAGCAGAAACAGGGCUUCACCAUGUUGGCCAGUCUGGUCUCAAACUCCUGAUCUCAAGUGAUCCAUCCACCUCAGCCUCCCAAAGUGCUGGGAUUAUAGGCGUGAGCCACCACGGCUGGCCAUUCUCCUGUGUUUUCUUCUGGGGCUUUUAUACUUUCAUUUUUUAAAAUCCAUAGUUUCUUGGAGCUGGAGGUGUCCCUUGUCAUUUUCUCAUCAGUGAGUGCAAAGCAGGAUCCCAAAAGGAUUGGAGUCCAGAGUAGAGAAAGGAGCUGCCGCGGUGGAGUCUGUUCAGUGCAGGCUCUGAUCUCCUUCAGCCCUGCCAGGAAUCCCAGCCAGCAGAUCUUCUUCCAGCUUCCCUUUCUCCAGCACUCUUGAUCUUCUGGGCUGGCACAGGGUCCAGGGUUGAUGGGGAUCCUAGCUGCCUGAGGAGCUUCCAGUCUGGAGGGUGAUACAAGCACAUGGCCAGACCUGAAUUCAAGCCAUGAGAGAGAUUCAGAACCUGGGCUGGGAGCGCAGGGGAGGGAGCGGGGUGCUGAUGGGGGUGGAUGGGAGGCUCCAGAGAGGAGGUGGCGUCUGAACUGAACCUUAAGAAUGAGGGGAAAUGUAAUGGCAGCGAUGAGAAAGGGGAGGCACUUCAGUGCAGAGAACAGCAAGAGCAAAGACAAGGAGGUGGAAAAUCAGCCAGAAACCUAGCCUGGAGAGGGUUUAGUGGACCAUGGGUCCUUGAUGGUAGAGACACAACAUGACUUAUCUCUGUGUCCCAUCCUCUGUGCCAGAGGCGGCAUCGACCAGACUUGGACAAAUGAAGCAGAAGGGACAGGGGACUUAGAAUACUAGGCUGCAUCAUUUUCUUUUUACUCUGACAGUGAGAAGCAAAGACCUCCACAAAGAAAGAAGCCCUUGGCUGUGUCAUCAUUUUAGAAUCUGGGCACUCUCUGCACACCACUGCCCCCUCAUGGCUGAUCUAGGAAUUCUCUCUAAAUCCCAGACUGAAGGUGAGGAGGAGGCUCAGUGAGUCUUAGAGAUUUGAAAAGCCGUGAAAUCCUGGUUGGAGAACAUCUGAGUCCAAAGGGCCCUCAGAGACUCUCUGACUUCCUCAUUA